UAUAGAAUUACGCUUAAUUUCCGGCCGCGAAGGUUGGGAAGCGGGGGAACCAUUAUUUUGGGGCGAAUCAAGAUGUAUUGUAGGGAACCAUCUUUCCCGAGCCCGACAGCUAACCUCGUCAGCAGCAGAUGGGUCACAA
rnacentral:sRNA from 1 species